CUGAACAAAACAAUCGUCGCACUUGUGACUU
rnacentral:piRNA from 1 species